ACUUGUACUCUGCUGCCAAGUAAGAUCGUGAUUUCGUAGCUGCAAUUGGGGCUCAAUUUUUAUUGAAAUCCUGUAGUGAUGUUUCUCAUAACCUUGAGAAUGGAGUACUUCUAUAGUGUCUCCAUUUCCAUACAAAGGUUACAAUGCCAUUCUUGAGAGGAUUUUGCCACUCGAAUCAUUUCCUAAUAUUACAGAAGAGUGCAAUUCUCAAGGUGGUUGGUGCAGCAGCACAGUUUUGGCCAACAUUAGGGAUGCAAGAUGCAUCUUGUGAAUAGCGGCAUCUUGUGAGUCGUAACAGGGACAUUCUGAGGAAGAUGACGAUUAAAGAUUACAUUCAUUUCCAGUAAAUUUCUGUUGAUAGCUUAGGUCCAUGCACAAUUGUAACGAGUUUCGAUGAACGACGCACAUGAGACUCAGAAUUUGUCUAUAAAUUCAUUUAGCUUUUGGCCACUAGUGUAUGCCUACCCAUCUGUGUGGGAUUCACAAUUUGUGAGAAGAAGAGAGCACAGGUUACUGCUUUCUUUCCAAUUGUAUUAGCUGUUCUUUCACCCAGAAUGUUGUGCAUUAUUUUACCUGUCAAACUGUUGCAGUUCA
rnacentral:misc_RNA from 1 species